GAGCGCCCCGCAAGGGGAGCGGCAGACGGGAGAGUAACACGUGGGAACGUACCUUUCGGUUCGGAACAACCCAGGGAAACUUGGGCUAAUACCGGAUACGCCCGCAAGGGGAAAGAUUUAUCGCCGGAAGAUCGGCCCGCGUCUGAUUAGCUAGUUGGUGAGGUAACGGCUCACCAAGGCGACGAUCAGUAGCUGGUCUGAGAGGAUGAUCAGCCUCACUGGGACUGAGACACGGCCCAGACUCCUACGGGAGGCAGCAGUGGGGAAUAUUGGACAAUGGGCGCAAGCCUGAUCCAGCCAUGCCGCGUGGGUGAUGAAGGCCCUAGGGUUGUAAAGCCCUUUCGGCGGGGAAGAUAAUGACGGUACCCGCAGAAGAAGCCCCGGCUAACUUCGUG
rnacentral:rRNA from 1 species